rnacentral:rRNA from 1 species
AGAAUCAACGCUGGCGGCGUGCCUAACACAUGCAAGUCGCACGAGAAAGGGUAGCAAUACCUGAGUAAAGUGGCGCACGGGUGAGUAACACGUGAAUUAUCUACCUCCGAGUGGGGAAUAACUGAGAGAAAUCUUAGCUAAUACCGCAUAAUACCCACGGGUCAAAGCAGCAAUGCGCUUGGAGAGGAGUUCGCGGCAGAUUAGCUAGUUGGCGGGGUAAUGGCCCACCAAGGCAGUGAUCUGUA